rnacentral:rRNA from 1 species
UACGUAGGGGGCAAGCGUUGUCCGGAUUUAUUGGGCGUAAAGAGCGUGUAGGCGGCCAGGUAGGUCCGUUGUGAAAACUCGAGGCUCAACCUCGAGACGUCGGCGGAAACCCUCUGGCUAGAGUCCGGAAGAGGAGAGUGGAAUUCCUGGUGUAGCGGUGAAAUGCGCAGAUAUCAGGAAGAACACCCGUGGCGAAGGCGGCUCUCUGGGACGGUACUGACGCUGAGACGCGAAAGCGUGGGGGGCAAACAGG